rnacentral:rRNA from 1 species
CGCAUCUGUGCAUGCAGCAUAUCAAUAAGCGGAGGAAAAGAAACUAACAAGGAUUCCCUUAGUAACGGCGAGUGAAGCGGGAAGAGCUCAAAUUUGAAAUCUUCAAGGUUUUACCUUGACGAAUUGUAGUUUAAAGAAGUGUUUUCUGUUGAAGUUUUGGUAAAAGUUCUUUGGAAUAGGACAUCAUAGAGGGUGAGAAUCCCGUAUUUGACCAUUAUUUUCAGCUGUGUGAUACACUUUCAAAGAGUCGGAUUGUUUGGGAAUGCAGUCCAAAAUGGGUGGUAAAUUUCAUCUAAAGCUAAAUAUUGGCGAGAGACCGAUAGCGAACAAGUACCGUGAGGGAAAGAUGAAAAGAACUUUGAAAAGAGAGUUAAACAGUACGUGAAGUUGUCAAAAGGGAAGCGUUUGACACCAGUGUUGUUUUCUCGAAAAUCAAUUAAAAAGAGUUUAGAUUUUGUUGUGUAUUGACCUUAACAGCUUGCAUUUCAAUUUUCUUGCUUUUUUUAAUGCACUUUUCGUUUAACAAGUCAACAUCAGUUUCUUUUGUUGUAAAAAGGUCAUUGGAAGGUGGCUUUCUUUUCGGAGAAAGUGUUUAUAGCCUUUGACUCCUGCAAUCGGAGAGACUGAGGUCUGCAGCGUAGAUCCUUCGGGGUUAGAUACAUUUGUGCUAAGUUAUAGCUUUUUAUAGACAACUUGUUGACUAUGAUUAGUCUUGUAGCUUACUCGCUUAUGCUAUUUUACCUACGCUUAGGAUGUUGACACACGCGCGUGCUCGAUCUAUACAUGACUCUGUGCAUAUCAAUAAGCGGAGGAAAAGCAUACAUUACCUACGCUUAGGAUGUUGAUGUGAUACUGCGAGCA